GAAAUGCGAUACUUGGUGUGAAUUGCAGAAUCCCGUGAACCAUCGAGUCUUUGAACGCAAGUUGCGCCUGAAGCCAUUAGGCCGAGGGCGCAACUUGCGU
rnacentral:misc_RNA from 1 species